CCGCAAGGUUAAAACUCAAAUGAAUUGACGGGGGCCCGCACAAGCGGUGGAGCAUGUGGUUUAAUUCGAUGCAACGCGAAGAACCUUACCUACUCUUGACAUCCAGAGAACUUAGCAGAGAUGCUUUGGUGCCUUCGGGAACUCUGAGACAGGUGCUGCAUGGCUGUCGUCAGCUCGUGUUGUGAAAUGUUGGGUUAAGUCCCGCAACGAGCGCAACCCUUAUCCUUUGUUGCCAGCGCGUGAUGGCGGGAACUCAAAGGAGACUGCCGGUGAUAAACCGGAGGAAGGUGGGGAUGACGUCAAGUCAUCAUGGCCCUUACGAGUAGGGCUACACACGUGCUACAAUGGCGUAUACAAAGGGAAGCGACCCCGCGAGGGCAAGCGGAACUCAUAAAGUACGUCGUAGUCCGGAUUGGAGUCUGCAACUCGACUCCAUGAAGUCGGAAUCGCUAGUAAUCGUAGAUCAGAAUGCUACGGUGAAUACGUUCCCGGGCCUUGUACACACCGCCCGUCACACCAUGGGAGUGGGUUGCAAAAGAAGUAGGUAGCUUAACCUCCGGGAGGGCGCUUACCACUUUGUGAUUCAUGACUGGGGUGAAGUCGUAACAAGGUAACCGUAGGGGAACCUG
rnacentral:rRNA from 1 species